rnacentral:rRNA from 1 species
UACGUAGGGUGCGAGCGUUGUCCGGAAUUCUUGGGCGUAAAGAGCUCGUAGGCGGCUUGUCGCGUCGGAUGUGAAAGCCCGGGGCUUAACCCCGGGUCUGCAUUCGAUACGGGCAGGCUAGAGUUCGGUAGGGGAGACUGGAAUUCCUGGUGUAGCGGUGAAAUGCGCAGAUAUCAGGAGGAACACCGGUGGCGAAGGCGGGUCUCUGGGCCGAUACUGACGCUGAGGAGCGAAAGCGUGGGGAGCGAACAGG